AUUGAACGCUGGCGGCAUGCUUUACACAUGCAAGUCGAACGGCAGCGCGGGCUUCGGCCUGGCGGCGAGUGGCGAACGGGUGAGUAAUACAUCGGAACGUGCCCAGUAGUGGGGGAUAGCUCGGCGAAAGCCGGAUUAAUACCGCAUACGACCUGAGGGUGACAGCGGGGGAUCUUCGGACCUCGCGCUAUUGGAGCGGCCGAUGGCAGAUUAGCUAGUUGGUGGGGUAAAGGCCUACCAAGGCGACGAUCUGUAGCUGGUCUGAGAGGACGACCAGCCACACUGGGACUGAGACACGGCCCAGACUCCUACGGGAGGCAGCAGUGGGGAAUUUUGGACAAUGGGCGAAAGCCUGAUCCAGCAAUGCCGCGUGUGUGAUGAAGGCCUUCGGGUUGUAAAGCACUUUUGGCGGGAACGAAAAGGACUGUGCCAAUACCACGGUUCGAUGACGGUACCCGCAGAAUAAGCACCGGCUAACUACGUG
rnacentral:rRNA from 1 species